ensembl:lncRNA
UCCUGUGGAUUCUGUGGGUCCUGUGGGUUGCAGGGUGGGUUCUACCUAGACCAGGCUGAUCCUGGACCAUCCCACAGAUGCUCCAUCAGAUCUGGAUGUGGGGAGUGUGGAAUCCAGAUGUUCAGAGGGAGAUGAUGCCACAUCUGGUCCAGCUGAUGGAAGGUCUUGAAGUUCUCUGACUGGCCUCGACUGAAGAUGGUCGUCUCACUGGAUUUAAGGUUCAGAUGCUCAGUAACAAACUCCACCAAUGAGCCAACAGGGAAGCUUUAGGUUUAUUGAAUGUUGCUAUGAAGGUUUCACAGUUUUUCUUUGUGAAUGCAAUGUGCUCCAACUGAAACUUGAAUUAGAACUUAGAAGUAAAUCCUUCCAUCUGAAAGGAUUUAGUUGCAUUAAUAACCCCAUAACAUUCUAAUUUUUAUUCCAGUCUUGGUUGGAAAUAGAAUCUCUGUAUUGAUUCAGGUAAAAACUGAACUUCACAGCAUGUUGGAGCAAAACAACCAGAUGAAAACUGUGAUGGUGUUGGAUUGUCAGACUGUAAUGUUGCAGCUCAAAGCAGCUUUUCUGUCUCAGUUCAUUCUGACAUUCAGCUAUGAAUCAACACAGCAGAUGGUGAUCCAUGCUGUGGAAGUCUCACAUCUCCUGAUUUAAUGGAGCUGCUUUGCACUUUUUACACUGUUUAUUCACCAACACUUUAUUUUAUAAAAGUUCCAUCUAGUUUUUAUGAGGAAUGUGAUGUUUUAAUUUCUCUGUGAAUAACUGCAGUCUAAUGGAAGAGCUGGAACUGUAACAUCUGUCCUGAUAUUGAUCAUGAAGUAUUGAUCAGAAUACUUAUGGUCAGCAGUCAUCCCUGAAGUUUUACAUUAAAAUCUUUACUUGUGUUGUGAACUUUGGUAAGAAGCAGAAACUUUAGCGUUGCCAUGGAUACAUGAGUGUUAAAUUCUGUCCAUGUUUCCAUUUUGGGAAAUGCAGUCCAGCAGAUGAGUUUGUUUUUACUGCCAGCUACAUUCAGUCUGAGAUAUUAAGAAUAAAUAAAUGUGCAUAAUGUGGAAAUGAACAGAUUCUAUUUUUAUUUAUUCCUACAGCUGCUGCACGUAAAGUUCCAGAAUGUGGAGGAAUUUAGUCUCACAAUCACAGACAAUAAAUAUUAUCUGAAAGUUGGGUUAUUGUUGUUUAUCAGCACAAUACAAAAAGAUUCAUGUUAGACAUAUUCCAGUUAAGACUCUAGAAUAUCAUGAUUUAUGUAAAUUUACCUGAAUAAUAUGAAUGUUCAGGUUAAGAUUGUGCAGUGAUAUUUAUUAUGUAAGUUUAGCUGAUUAAAGUUUGACUCUGUACUACAAUAUUGUUAUUAUUAUUAUUAUAAUUUACAUCAUUAUUAUAAUAUUUAGGGUCAGACCCUACAGUAUUGAGAUUAAGAAAUCAAACAUUCUAUAAAAUGUAAAUACACUGAACUCAUUUGGAUAUAUUUAAGUGAGACUCUACAAUAUUAUUUGACACAAAUCUAUCUAAAUCCAAAUUUUAAUCAUUUUUACUCCAAACAUUUACUGGACUGAUUUAAAUAUUAAAAUCACUCCUUUCUAAUCCUCUGCUGUCUGUUCAAACCUGAGGCCUUAAAUAGAAACACACAAGUAUCUGAUUGAAGGAACUUCUGCAGAGUCCUGGUUCCACAACAUGAUGAUAGAAUUAUAGACAAACUUUAACAAAAGCUGCCUGAGAGUUUACAGGUUUUUAUGUUAGAUUUCUUCAGUAAUUUAAUAAGAGUUAUCAGCAAAAAUCAAGUGUUCAUUUGAUGAACUUCAUUUCCUAAAACAUCCAGAAUUGGAGCUCAUAUCUUUGGCAGCUGUAAAGUUUCUGCUCCUUCAAAGUUCACAACACACUGAAUGAAUUCCUAAAACAUUCUCAAUGCUGGAGAGCGUUUGUGAUGCUGAAGCAGUGAUCAGUUUUUCUGUUUCUUCUCUGGAGAUGCACAAUGAGGGACGUCUGCAGAGACUGAGAAAGAGUCUCACCACAUCCUGACAUGAGGAAAAAGACUUUAUUGAAGACUACAAUGAGAAAAACUAUCAGACAGCAGACGGCUGCAUUCAAGUUUAGGCUGUUAGAUUGUUCCAGAUAAGACGAGUACAAGAUUCUUCAGAGCCGUUCUACCACGAGCCUGACAGGAAGAACUCCAACAGCUACUGAAUGUUCCUGUGGUCCCCUCAAGGCUACAGGAGGAGUCCUACGAGGACGAGCCGGUCCACCUGAUGGCGGCCAGUCGCUGCGGUUCAAAGCCAACACCGACUACGUGGACUUCUACUGGACCACACGGAGGCCUUCAAACCGGACCAACAAGUUCAGCGACUCCCCGACUCGUGGGUCUGAGGACGCCGCCGAGCCUCGGUCCAGCCGGCCUCCUGUCUGUGGGUGUUUGAGUGCUGAGAGGUUUGUGGAUGCAUGUGAACGUUCUGUGUUGAAACAGCAGCUUUGGACUGAGUAACGCCAGGAAAAACCAAGAGCUCCUUUAUUUGUGACUUCCACUAAAAAAACUGAUGAAAAUAAGUUUGCCAGGGUUCUGACUGAUAACAGAUUAUUAGAUAAUGAAAAUAAUUGUUUAAAUAUUCCUUUAAACAAUCCUUUUAGGUCUACAUUUCCUUUACACUGAAUUCUUGGUAUAUGUACAAGUAUUUUGGGUGGAAUAUACCAUUAAGCCCAAUGUUCGAGGGUUCUGGGAAUAUACCAUUACACCAACCUUUUAGGUAAAUGUUCCAAAAUGUUGGGUAGAAGAUACUAUCAGAUCAACCUUUUAGGUCUACAUUGGAAGAUUUUAGAGUAGAAUAUUACUCCAAACUAUCCUUUAGGUCUACAUUUAAGGUGGAAUACUCCUUUACACCAAGAUUUUUUUGGUCCACAUUGAAGGACUUUAGGUGGAAUAUUCCUUUGAACGAACUUUUUAAGUUUAUGUUCAAGGAUGUUGGGUGGAAUAUACCAUCAGACCAACUUCCAAGGUCUACAGUAGUGAAUUUUAGGUGGAAUAUACCAUUAAACUCACCUUUUAGGUCGACAGUGGAGGAUUUUAGGUGGAAUUUUCUUCCAAACCAUCUUUUAGUCUACAUUUAAGGAUAUUUAGGAUGGUAUGUUCUUCCAAACCAACUUCUCAGGUCUACAUUUCAGGUGGAAUAUUCCUCCAUACUAACUUUUUUGGUCGACAUUGAAGGAUUUUUUCUAAACCACCCUAUGGGGUCUAUAUUUGAGGUUUUAGGUGGAAUAUUCCUUUUAACCAGCCCCUCAGGUCUCUUUGAGGAUUUUGGAUGGAAUACUCGGUUAAACCAACAUUUUAGGUGCAUGUCUAAGGAUUUUUGCUGGAAUGUUCCUUUAAGGUGGAUGUGUGAGGACCUUGUAGGUGGAAUACUUCCUGAAACCAACCUUUUAGGUCAACAUUCAAAGAUUUAAGGUGGAAUAUUCCUUUAAACCAACCUGAAUUUCAUGUUAUGAUCAUUAUCAAGUGAGAAACCUCAAUCCAGACUCCUCAUAAUGACGUUUGAGAUUUAUGCUGCUGUUAUUUACUUAGUCCAGACUAAAUGACAGAAAUCCACAACUGUAAUUUUAUUUCAGGACUCGGUUAUUAAAUGUCAAAACAAUCCAUGUGAUUCUAAAAACUCAACAGCUUUACAAACUCUAAGAUUAAACUCUCCACAAGGAUCCAAAAUAAGUUUGACUGCUACAUGAGGGCCUUAAUUAUUCUUCAUCUACUUCCUGAAAAGUUUGGUCAAUAAAAAAGACAAAAACUAAUAUUUUCAGCUGAACUAAAGAUAGACUUUGUGAUUUUUCUGCUCACAUGUUGUGUUUUUGUAAACUUCCUCUUUCAAAUAAAUAUCCUCCUAACCCCC